rnacentral:snoRNA from 1 species
GAGCUAUGACGAAUCUGGUGCCUCUUGUGAUGGUAGGGUCUAUCACUAUUGUCUGAUUCUUCGGAUGAAAUUGGUCACAUCUGAGCUC